rnacentral:rRNA from 1 species
AACGUAGGUGGCGAGCGUUAUCCGGAUUUACUGGGCAUAAAGCGCUUGUAGGUGGUUUUGUAAGUUGGGCGUGAAAUCUCCGGGCUUAACUUGGAGAGGCCGUCCAAUACUGCGAGGCUAGAGGUUAUUCGAGGAAAGUGGAAUUCCUGGUGUAGUAGUGAAAUGCGUAGAUAUCAGGAGGAACACCGGUGGCGAAGGCGGGUCUCUGGGCCGAUACUGAC